GAUGAACGCUGGCGGCGUGCCUAAUACAUGCAAGUAGAACGCUGAAGGAGGAGCUUGCUCUUCUGGAUGAGUUGCGAACGGGUGAGUAACGCGUAGGUAACCUGCCUUGUAGCGGGGGAUAACUAUUGGAAACGAUAGCUAAUACCGCAUGACAACAGUUAUUGCAUGAUAACUGUUUAAAAGGGGCAACUGCUCCACUACCAGAUGGACCUGCGUUGUAUUAGCUAGUUGGUGAGGUAACGGCUCACCAAGGCGACGAUACAUAGCCGACCUGAGAGGGUGAUCGGCCACACUGGGACUGAGACACGGCCCAGACUCCUACGGGAGGCAGCAGUAGGGAAUCUUCGGCAAUGGACGGAAGUCUGACCGAGCAACGCCGCGUGAGUGAAGAAGGUUUUCGGAUCGUAAAGCUCUGUUGUAAGAGAAGAACGAGUGUGAGAGUGGAAAGUUCACACUGUGACGGUAUCUUACCAGAAAGGGACGGCUAACUACGUG
rnacentral:rRNA from 1 species